rnacentral:rRNA from 1 species
UAGGGAAUCUUCCGCAAUGGACGCAAGUCUGACGGAGCAACGCCGCGUGAGUGAAGAAGGUUUUCGGAUCGUAAAACUCUGUUGUUAGAGAAGAACAAGUGCUAGAGUAACUGUUAGCGCCUUGACGGUAUCUAACCAGAAAGCCACGGCUAACUACGUGCCAGCAGCCGCGGUAAUACGUAGGUGGCAAGCGUUGUCCGGAUUUAUUGGGCGUAAAGCGAGCGCAGGCGGUUCCUUAAGUCUGAUGUGAAAGCCCCCGGCUCAACCGGGGAGGGUCAUUGGAAACUGGGGAACUUGAGUGCAGAAGAGGAGAGUGGAAUUCCAUGUGUAGCGGUGAAAUGCGUAGAUAUAUGGAGGAACACCAGUGGCGAAGGCGACUCUCUGGUCUGUAACUGACGCUGAGGCUCGAAAGCGUGGGUAGCAAACAGGAUUAGAUACCCUGGUAGUCCACGCCGUAAACGAUGAGUGCUAAGUGUUGGAGGGUUUCCGCCCUUCAGUGCUGCAGUUAACGCAUUAAGCACUCCGCCUGGGGAGUACGACCGCAAGGUU